AACGAACGCUGGCGGCAGGCUUAACACAUGCAAGUCGAACGCCCCGCAAGGGGCGUGGCAGACGGGUGAGUAAAGCGUGGGAAUCUACCGUACCCUACGGAAUAACGCAUGGAAACGUGUGCUAAUACCGUAUACGACCUACGGGGGAAAGAUUUAUCGGGGUAUGAUGAGCCCGCGUUGGAUUAGCUAGUUGGUGGGGUAAAGGCCUACCAAGGCGACGAUCCAUAGCUGGUCUGAGAGGAUGAUCAGCCACAUUGGGACGGAGACACGGCCCAAACUCCUACGGGAGGCAGCAGUGGGGAAUAUUGGACAAUGGGCGCAAGCCUGACGCAGCCAUGCCGCGUGAAUGAUGAAGGUCUUAGGAUUGCAAAAUUCUUUCACCGGGGACGAUAAUGACGGUACCCGGAGAAGAAGCCCCGGCUAACUUCGUGCCAGCAGCCGCCGUAAUAC
rnacentral:rRNA from 1 species